AACGAACGCUGGCGGCAUGCCUAACACAUGCAAGUCGAACGAGACCUUCGGGUCUAGUGGCGCACGGGUGCGUAACGCGUGGGAACCUGCCCUUAGGUUCGGAAUAACUCCCCGAAAGGGGUGCUAAUACCGGAUAAUGUCUUCGGACCAAAGAUUUAUCGCCUUUGGAUGGGCCCGCGUUGGAUUAGCUAGUUGGUAGGGUAAAAGCCUACCAAGGCGACGAUCCAUAGCCGGUCUGAGAGGAUGAUCAGCCACACUGGGACUGAGACAGGGCCCAGACUCCUACGGGAGGCAGCAGUGGGGAAUAUUGGACAAUGGGCGAAAGCCUGAUCCAGCAAUGCCGCGUGAGUGAUGAAGGCCUUAGGGUUGUAAAGCUCUUUUACCCGGGAUGAUAAUGACAGUACCGGGAGAAUAAGCUCCGGCUAACUCCGUG
rnacentral:rRNA from 1 species